AUGACGCCGCCACCCCUAUGCUCCGCCACAGGCCUCCAUCGAUCCAUGCCCGCAGCAGCGCCCCCAACGCCUCCUCGUCCCCGCACAGCCCGCGAGGCACCGGCCUCCUCUGCUUCGCGCCUCCCAAGCAGCGUCCAAGAGCCCGAGCUCCAUCUUCUACGCCGCGUUCGAGCAAGAGGAGCUUGCUGCUCGAGCAUGCACCAAGAACCAUGGCGCCCUCCCGAGCACCUCCUGUGCGUGCCUUCACUCGUCCUCGUCGGCCAUCCGUGGGAAGUUUUGGCAUGGGCAUGGCCGAGACCCCCCGAGCAUUUUGUUGCCUCGGUGCACCUCCGUUCCUGGAGUUUUGGACCAUCAAGACUUGUUGCCCAGACAUGA
rnacentral:rRNA from 1 species